rnacentral:misc_RNA from 1 species
AGCUCAAAGUUAUGGUAAUUGAACAGUGAGCAAAUUUUCUUGACAAGAAUGAAAUGGUUGGUUAACUAAUUUUCUGGAGUGAAAUGAAAUAAGUUGUUAUCUGAGCCUGUGGUUAACCAUUGGUUCUGGUUCAGUCUAUCAGUUAUUAUUUUUCAACCAAAAUGGUACCUUUUGAAUUAUUGUUUUGCCUCUUGGGUGUUAGAAAAAAUCUCAUUUAAAUCAAGCACAUCUAUAGGUUUUCAAAUCAUUCAGCCACACAGAAAAGCAGAACAUGAAUAUCCAACUAUACUAUGGA